AUGCCUAACGCCGUAUUUAUGCCGACGUCCUUCCGGGCUUGCCUAUCCGUAGGGGUAUAUACGGUAACCAGGCACGCGCUAACUAUGGGCAAAUACGGUUCCGGCGGCGGCUGCGUCCGUGCCGUGGCGGCGCGGGAGUGGCGGCGCCCGUUGGGGCGGGCUGCAAAUGCCGGCGGGGGCGGGGGCACCCGCCACGCGGGGCAGCCGCUCGGGCAGCCGUUGGGACCGUUGGGCCUGGCGCCGUGGGGAGGCGCGGCGCGGCUGGGCUGGGCUGGGCUGGGCUGGGCUGCUCUCCCCUCCCCUGCGCUCCCUUCCCCUGGCCAAGGGGGAAGCUCGCCAAGCUGCCACCGGAUUUGUUCGUGUUUCUUGUGUCGGUGGGGAGUCAGGAAUUCCUCUGAAAAACGCGAGGGUCACGUCCCGGUGUUCAUGGGCUCCUUGACCUUCAAGCUGCACCUGGCCCUGAAGCUCCUCCUUCCUCAUACGAUCCUUUGGCAACGCGACACCUCUUCACCUUUCAGCUCUCCCUGCCAGCCAGAAGUGCCAUGGCGUUUUCCAGAGAAAAGGCUAUGCAACUGGCCACACACGUUGCACAAGCUUUUAGAUCACGCCUAGACUGACUGAUGGAUCACGUGCUGCAUGGCUGAGUCACUGACACUGCCGAUGCCGUUGCAGAGUGAGUCAUGAGGACUGUCAGCAAGAGGAGAGAUGGGGAGAGAGUGAUCCUGCUCCUGAGAGAUUCUAGCUGAACCUUAUCAAAACCAGGAGAAUUAAUCAAUAGCUACAUCAUAGGUAUCAUUUCCUGAGGUGGAGAAGUGCAGAUUUAGAAUCAUUUCCCAUAUUAUUGUCGUCUUUCUGACCACUGCAAAGAAAACUGAAUUGUUCUUGUUUUAGCAUUUUUAUGGUAUGUAGACAUGGCAAGAAAUUACUCUGGACCAACAGUUUAAAGUUUAGAAUAAUGCAGCCAGUUUUGCUGGAAGCAGAAUGGGGAGCAACUUUGCCGAUAGCUCAAAGAGGUAGUAGGCUGAAAAAAGAAGCUGUAACAACCUGAAGGGCAGAAAACACCGGAGAGCUCACGUCAGCACCUGAGACUAUUCCAAGGAAAGUGGUGGAGGACCCAGCUCUACCAUUCAGCUGGACAACAUGCCAGGCGCAGAGUGCCCGCUGCUGCCCGCACGCCCCUUGUGAGCGAUCACAGAGCCUGAGCACUGUUCCAACGGAAAUGUGCAGAGAUGGCACAACAGGUCACAGCAUUCCUUAUGUUUCUGAAAAAGGACUCUGCAUAGACGUUUUCUUCCCAGUAUUUCCUCCUUGAUCUGGUUAAGAUUGUGACAGAUAGGGUCUGAAGGUUAUGAGCACUCAGCAUAUUAUCUCUAUCUAAAUGGCUCUGAGUCAGGCUCUGGGUUUGGCACGAUGGAGUGAUGGUGCCAACUUGUCUCCCAGAAUGGGUGAAUUCAGCUGCUGUGUGCUGAGGUGAUUGGAACAGUAGUAGUUUGGAAGCAAGGAGGAAAGGUGAAAAUCCAACAAGCAUCCUAAUGAGAGAGAGAGUACUGCCUGAACCAGCUCCAAAGGGAGGGUAGCCACAGGCCCUGCUCUUGGAGCACAGAUGUGGAAGGAGGCUGGCAAAGAAGAAGCUGGCACAGUCAUUCUGAGACAGCUACAGGAGGUCUGCAGUAAAGCAGUGCAUAUAUGCAAUACCCAGAGGUCUGCUGGAGUAAGAGUACCUUUUGAAAAGUUUUGAACAAAUUUAUACCAGCAGAUCCAUUUUAGGUCAAAGGAGGAAUUUGUAUUCUGUGGCAGUUGCAUUUUUAUUCCAACUCUGCAGGUGCUAAAGAAGGAUUUACAGUCUUAUGAAACCUGUAUCUGGGGCAUAAAUCUUAACUAAUAGAGUUGCAUCAUUGUAAUUCCCCAACUUGUAGAGGUGUUCUUUUGUAUUAGAAGAAGAUCCUUCCACAGUGUAAUUUAUAUCACUUGGGAAGGAAUUCAAAUAAGACAACAAAAUCAUGUAUAUGACCAUAUUGAUGUAACUGGUAAACUACUCCUAGGUUUGUACAGCCUUACUGAUAUUUUUUACCAACUUCAACUAAUUUGUUUAAAGACACUGUCAGUAUGGUAUAUGAACAUCUUUCCAAGGAACUGGCAUUAAUGUAAUUAAAGCACAUCUAAAUUAAUUUAGCUAUAUGGGUGCAAUGUUUGUAUAUAAACAAGCUUUAACAGAGUCAAGAAUUCUUAAAGAGUAUGCUUCUCACAGUUUUCUUAAGUAUGGUUUUGCUGGGAUACAAUUAAAAAUGCUUGGAGUACUUUGUAAACUAAGCAAUAUGCGUUAGAAAUUAAACUUCUGGCAUUUAUGUGAUUGUGAUUCUAUCCAAAUUAUAAUUUAARCCAAAUAAACAUUUGCCCUUUGUAAAGAAUGGGUUUGGG
ensembl:lncRNA